rnacentral:rRNA from 1 species
UACGAAGGGGGCUAGCGUUGCUCGGAAUCACUGGGCGUAAAGGGCGCGUAGGCGGAUCUUUAAGUCGGGGGUGAAAGCCUGUGGCUCAACCACAGAAUUGCCUUCGAUACUGGGGAUCUCGAGACCGGAAGAGGUGAGUGGAACUGCGAGUGUAGAGGUGAAAUUCGUAGAUAUUCGCAAGAACACCAGUGGCGAAGGCGGCUCACUGGUCCGGUUCUGACGCUGAGGAGCGAAAGCGUGGGGAGCGAACAGG